CUUUUUGACUUAAAAUGUGAACAGCAUUAAUGGCACAAAUACACAAAUUAAUACAAUUAAAUUUAUAAAUCAUCUAUGUAAAAUUAUUAUCUUUAUGCAUAAAAGCCCUGAAAAUGAACGUUAUAGCCAUCAGACAUCUUGCCAAACCCGCACAGACUGAUUUUAACACUUUCAUUUUAAUUCUGAACACUUUGGCCAAUUUGAAAUAUAUAUAAAAUUUGAAUAUUUAUCAACACUUCAUAAGAUAGUUUCUCCUUCCUUUCUACAGGCUUUUGGGGUGUAACCGGAAGCACACUUGAUGCAUUGUUGGGGGUUCCGGAGUUUAAAUCAUUUUGCUAAUAGUCCAGUAAGGUCAUUGCACAUUUUUCACAUAUCCAGCAUUCAAAAAAGCUAAUGACUCUACAGUGGUGCCUGAACCAAAUGGUAGUGGACAAUAAUUCGUCACCACCAUGACUUGGCGAUUGGGUCCCCUCAUCCCCAGUUGCACUUUGAAAGGGUCACAUCCUGAACAUACCUUGUGCCUACUUUCUUCAGCAUCGAAAGUUGAAAUUUGUGAUGCUGUACAGUUGAUCUGAGAAGCUUAAAAACAGGUUUCCUGUAUUUGCCUUAGAGGGCUGUUUUUAAGAAAAUAUUCUCAAAAACAAAUCCAUUGGUCUUCAUAUGAAGAUUUGUCUCCAGGUAACUAAUAAAGAAGCCCCUUUCCACAGAGACCUGUCCAUGUGACAAGAUAAGAAUCAUUUUCACUAUUU